CCUACGGGAGGCAGCAGUGAGGAAUAUUGGUCAAUGGACGAGAGUCUGAACCAGCCAAGUAGCGUGAAGGAUGACUGCCCUAUGGGUUGUAAACUUCUUUUAUAAAGGAAUAAAACGAGGCACGUGUGCCUUUUUGCAUGUACUUUAUGAAUAAGGAUCGGCUAACUCCGUGCCAGCAGCCGCGGUAAUACGGAGGAUCCGAGCGUUAUCCGGAUUUAUUGGGUUUAAAGGGAGCGUAGAUGGGUUGUUAAGUCAGUUGUGAAAGUUUGCGGCUCAACCGUAAAAUUGCAAUUGAUACUGGCAGUCGUGAGUACAGUUGAGGUAAGCGGAAUUCGUGGUGUAGCGGUGAAAUGCUUAGAGAUCACGAAGAACCCCGAUUGCGAAGGCAGCUUACUAAACUGUGACUGACAUUGAUGCUCGAAAGUGUGGGUAUCAAACAGGAUUAGAUACCCGGGUAGUC
rnacentral:rRNA from 1 species